GGGAGAUUGGUGGAAUUGGUAGACACGCUGCGUUAAGGGCGCAGUGCCGUUAUUGGCGUGUGGGUUCGAGUCCCACAUCUCCUA
rnacentral:tRNA from 3 species